UACAGAGGUCUCAAGCGUUGUUCGGAAUCACUGGGCGUAAAGCGUGCGUAGGCGGUUUCGUAAGUCGUGUGUGAAAGGCGGGGGCUCAACCCCCGGACUGCACAUGAUACUGCGAGACUAGAGUAAUGGAGGGGGAACCGGAAUUCUCGGUGUAGCAGUGAAAUGCGUAGAUAUCGAGAGGAACACUCGUGGCGAAGGCGGGUUCCUGGACAUUAACUGACGCUGAGGCACGAAGGCCAG
rnacentral:rRNA from 1 species